rnacentral:rRNA from 1 species
UGGGGAAUAUUGCACAAUGGGCGAAAGCCUGAUGCAGCAACGCCGCGUGAGUGAUGAAGGCCUUCGGGUUGUAAAGCUCUGUCUUCUGGGACGAUAAUGACGGUACCAGAGGAGGAAGCCACGGCUAACUACGUGCCAGCAGCCGCGGUAAUACGUAGGUGGCAAGCGUUGUCCGGAUUUACUGGGCGUAAAGGAUGCGUAGGCGGAUACUUAAGUCAGAUGUGAAAAUCCCGGGCUUAACUUGGGAACUGCAUUUGAAACUGGGUAUCUAGAGUGCGGGAGAGGAAAGUGGAAUUCCUAGUGUAGCGGUGAAAUGCGUAGAGAUUAGGAAGAACACCAGUGGCGAAGGCGACUUUCUGGACCGUGACUGACGCUGAGGCAUGAAAGCGUGGGGAGCAAACA